UUUCCGUAAGUGAACCUGCGGAAGGAUCAUUCAUAAUAAAGUGUUUUAUGGCACUUUUUAAAAAUCCAUAUCCACCUUGUGUGCAAUGUUAGAUCUCGUCAAUCUUGGCGAGAUUUUUAUACAUCAACUCAUUCUUUAACUAAUUUGUCUGAAAAAUAUUAUGUAUACUUAAUUCAAAAUACAACUUUCAACAACGGAUCUCUUGGCUCUC
rnacentral:misc_RNA from 1 species